rnacentral:rRNA from 1 species
GGCUAGCGUUGCUCGGAAUCACUGGGCGUAAAGCGCACGUAGGCGGAUUGUUAAGUCAGGGGUGAAAUCCUGGAGCUCAACUCCAGAACUGCCUUUGAUACUGGCGAUCUCGAGUCCGGGAGAGGUGAGUGGAACUGCGAGUGUAGAGGUGAAAUUCGUAGAUAUUCGCAAGAACACCAGUGGCGAAGGCGGCUCACUGGCCCGAUACUGACGCUGAGGCACGAAAGCGUGGGGAGCAAACAGG